rnacentral:lncRNA from 1 species
CCUGCCUGGCAAGCACAAGGUCCUGAGUUUAAUCUCCAGUACCAAAACAAACAAAAGAAAUCAAACUAUUUCCCUCUAAAUAAAAUUCUUCUAUUAGAGCAACAUUUUAUUAGAGUUCUAGGUGUUCCACAGCAAUUCUAAUAAUGUGCUUUUUCAUUUGAUAAAAUAUUUAACUGCUUUUCUGUCUCUUCCUCCCCCAGCCUGACUCUGUGCAGUUUGGACACCGCCUUAUAGUACGAUCAAACCAUUCACUUCCAUAAUCACUGCAGUGGACCAAUUAUUUUGACUUUGAGGAAGAGCUAGAAGUCCCACACUGCGAGAUCUGCUCUUGAAUGAAAAGCCAGUAAGAGUUGAAGAUCAGUGCAGAACAGGAAACCAGGGUAGUGCUGUCCAGUCUGACUCCAGAGUCUAAGAGGUACACAAGUCUGAGAGGCCCAAACAUCUCAUCAGUAACUGGCCAAGGUGUUCUGGAGUGAAGAGAUGGAGCCAGGGGACCUUGAUGGGCAAGUUACUGCCGAACACAACCUCCUUGGAGAGUUGCCAGACCUGCCAAGGUUCUGUGCAUCCUGUCCCCAAGGCCCACGGCGCAGCUGUCCAGAGCACACUGGCCAGGGCACGCGCCCACCUGUGCCAAGGAAUCCCCAGGUGGAGAGAAUUCCUCCCAGGGAAGCCCUGCGGCUGGAGUGCACCUCAGCAUGACCUGCUGCCUUCAGGAGUCGUGCAGAUCCCGGGAAGGAGCAGGGAGCGCCCAGCGCCUCGGGCUUCCUCCCUGCAGCCCACCUUCCCGACAGGCAGUAGAGCGAUGGAAGAGCUUUCUAUGAACAACAAACCUGCAUGGUGCCCAAAUGCUCAGGACAGAUUUUAAAGUCUCUUCCAGUUCUAAAAGUCUAAAAUAAAUGUUCACAACAAAAGUCUCUUUGUGAACAGUGGUUGGAAAUGGGGCAUAGUAACAGGUUACUUGAUUCUACUUGAAGUAAAUUAAAUGUGUGCAACACUGGAAACACCCAGGACUUAUGCA